GGCUGCACAUGCCGACAAUUUAUUCAGCAAACUCUUAUUUAUUCCACACAGAUUGUCACUAACAGUCUUUUUUUACCAGCAAGCUCUUUUCUAUAUAACUGACUGGGGGGAAAGCUGAUUUCUUUGUGUAGUCUAAGUAGCACUGCUGGGAAGAAGAACAUGUAGAUCAAGUGGAGGAGUGGAUUUUUUUGUGCCACCAAGAUACAUGCUGGCUGUUUGCUUCCCUGUGUGGGGUUUCUGUGACUCGGUGACAAAAAGCACACAAGCAGGGCCACUGCAGUAAUGAAUGGGGUGUGUUAAUCCAAGAAGAAAGGGGAUAGAAUUAACAAUUGGGUUGAUUUCACCACAGUUGCUGUCUUCUGGUUGUUGAGUCUGAUAAACCUGAGCAUAUUCUUGAUAUAAGAUGGACAUCAUACUAACAACCCUUAGUUAGCAAGGUCAGUGCUGAACAAUCAACUCUCUGAUACUUUCAUUUCAUACAUGCUGAAUUACAUUUUAAAAUCACUGCAUCUUCAUUACUGUUUUUUUUAAUGAACAGAUUGUUCUGGCUUAGCAGCACUUCGGAGAAAUGAGAGAUGCCUUUUUCUUAAAAGCUCAUUUUUGAAAUUUCACCUCCAAGAUUUUGUUGUAUUAAGUGUCUUGGUUACUCUCCAUAUUAUGGAAGCUAAUGACUUAGUUGGACUUUUUUUCUGUUCACUUCUGUUUCCUAAUUGCUGGGUCUGAACUCUCGAAAUAAAGCAGCAAAAUUUUGCAAGUCCUUAGGUGUUCAAAACUUCCAUAGAAGCAUUUAGGAUAUUGUCUGAAGUAAGGAUUUAGAGGAUCAAGAUCACAUUUGCAGAUAGUGUCUUCUGCCUCCUCUUCCCUAACAGUUAGCAUAGGGACUGUAUCUCACUUAAAAUCUUGGAAGGCAGAAAGUAAAAUAAAUCCAGCAGAAAUUAUCCAUUUUAGGGGUUUUGUUGUUGUUUUGGCUUGGUUGGAGUUUUUUUUGCUGGUAUAGCUUGAUAGAAGAAAAAUUGUAUGACUAAUUUUUGAUUCUUUACCCAGUCAGAGACCUAACAGAGAACCCUGGCUUCAGAAAUAUUUAUCAGUUUGAAAUUAUUUCUGGAGACCCAGAAGUUGGGGUAUUGAGGAUUGCUAGUCACUUUGGAAAAUCACAUCACUUACCAAGCUCUUCUUUUAGAUUAGGUGUAACUAACUGAGGUAGUUCCAAACAACAAAAACAUGGGAAUGAUUGUCCCAACACUUCAGAGUAAUUUAAUUUACUUUGUAUAUUGCAGAAGAUGUAUAUUGCAGAGAGUUUCUGAGGGAAAUAAUAAAAUGCUCUACAGUAGAUAUGUUUUUAGAGUUGAAUCUGUGGUGUAAAGCAUCCAGAUUCAACUGCAAUUAAAAGCAAGUCUUACAACUUGGAUUUUUGACUAUCAUCUUGUAAGUGCUGGGCCCACACACAUGAGCUCAGGAGCAGGAGAGGGGACAGCACUGCUGUUAGAGGGGCACACGUGCCUGCCAGUAGAUCUGCUGUUGCUCCAUACAGCCCCAAAGGUUGCUGAGGAGAGCUGAGCAUCGGCAUGGCUCCGUUUGUUCGGCUGGUUUACUUUGUGCACUUUGCAGCACUUUGUGUAUAGUCGGUCUCACUGGUUCCCCAGGUGCAGACAGAGUCACUGGCUCCUGCUGUUUGGAUGCUUGUUCCAAUUACAGGGAGAUGGGGAAUGGAUGGAGGGAAGUGGAAUGGAAUAGUGUGAAUGCAAACUCAUGCCAUUUGCAAGAGAGGUCUUGAACAGGCCUAGAAGCUACUUGUGACUUGCUCUUUACAGGUUGGAUUUCCAAAGGAAGGUCUCAAUUUAGGAGAAUCAUCCUAAUACCCUCCUUUUCUCAUCCUGAUUUUCAAAGUAACUGGAAAAUGUACUUGAUGUCUCCUUCCUUGAGGGAAUAAAUAAUGUUCCUCCAUCAGUGCAAUGUGGAUGUAGAAAAAAUUAGGAUCAGUCCAUAGAAUAUUAUGACAAUGUUUCUCUCCAGGGAUGACAGUCAGAAUCCACACAGUUUGCUUUCUUGUUUGUUCCUCUUACUGUGUCCCACACAACUGAACUUGGCUCAAUCUGGCAGAACUGAAGCGGUUCUACAGGGAUAAAGUCUUUCUGCAAAAACAUAUGCUAGACCUAGUAACCAGUGCACUGUUUGUUAGUUAGAUAAAAGUCCUUAAUAGAUACUAAUCUGCCACUCAAGGUAGUGGUAGGAAGGGAAGUCAAAUCAUAAAGUUGUAAGCCUGUUUAGUUUUCCAUUUUGUACUCGUUAUAUGGACUCUAAAAUCUUGUACAGUACCUUAUUCCUGUCCUAUAUUCACUCAAAGGAUGCUCCUCCCCCUAACUGCCAUUCAAGCAUUGCCAAUGCAGUUGUUGGUUCCUGCCCGUGUUUCACAGUGCUCCUGCUUCAGCCAGGGGAUGGAUGGGACUGAUCCAAAUGCAUGAUGUUACCAUUCCUGGGAGCAGGGCAGUUCUCACAUCCUGUCCAUCCUGGAACAGAUCCUGUCCAUAAGACAAACAUUGGGGAUUUUCAGUGUCCCAUGUGGAUGCUUACCCUCCAGUAUUCUUUUGACAACUGGAUCAAAUCUGCCAGACAGGUCUCUUAAAAUUUAAGAUAUCCGUACAUGAAAUACAGUUUUGUCUUACUCCCGUGUGCUGCUUGUGCAUUUGCAAAGACACCUUGAGUUCCUUAAAAUGGUCUCCACAGCUGGCCUCAUCUUUUGUUUUCUUUAUCUAAAGAAUUAACACAGUAAAGUUCCACAAGCAGAGCUCUUUAUGUAGCAUUUAAUACUUGCUUUUUUUUUGAGUCCUGAACCUUGUUUUUUUCAGUCUUUCUUCAGUCGUGACUUGCUACAAUAUCAAAGGGAAAGGGCCCAGGGGACACACACUGUGUGUGUGGGAAGGGGGGAAAUACCUUGAAAAAACUGGAAGUAUUAUUCUUGUUGCACAUAAAUUGGGUGGUGCUUUCACUGUCUUUUCCCUUCCACUGGUAAUAUCACGUGCAUGUAAAACAUGCUGCGUUAAAACUUUUUUAAAUGGAAAUCAUGGUGGCAUAGUGCUCAAAGGGUUAACUGCAGUUUAUUAACAGCUAAUGUUUUUAGAUUUGCAGUACACAACUGUUUAAAUACUGUAUUCCUUGUAAAUGAAGUAAGAAAAAAUGUUAAGGCUGGUGCCAAUAUUUUUGUUAAUGAAUUGUUCAGCGUUGUCUCUCACUACAGUCUAGUCAGAACUCUUUGUGUAUAAGCUGGGCCUGAAGCCAUUUUAUAGCUUGUAGGCCUAAUUGUGUAACUUUUCUUUCAUAAUGGUUUUGUUAUAAUAUCUACUGUCAUUUCUUUCAUAUAAAUAUGACAUGUAAAUUGUCAUAAUAAAAAAAAUUGAAAUAACUUGA
ensembl:lncRNA